rnacentral:lncRNA from 1 species
AGAGGGUCUUGAUUUGCGGGGUGCAUACGAUUUGGGUUCAGAAAUUAAUGAAUUUGACUUGACCUGCAUACAUUAAACUCAAUCAGUAAAUAAAUAAGGAAAACAAACUCGAAUUAAUUUAUUAAAAUGCAAUGAUGAGGGUAACACAUUUUUUAGUUAAAUUUACAAAAUAUGUGAAUUAAAAUAAUGAUAAAUGCUAUGAAUAAGAUAUGAAUUUAUGCAUUAUUUAGCACUUAUCAGCCUCCUUAACCGGUUUGAGUCUAAUCUGAUUUGGUGAAGUCAGUGGGAGAAAUUAGACUAA